rnacentral:tRNA from 1 species
CAAAGAAGAAGGAGUUUAACCUCCGCCCCUAACUCCCAAAGCUAGGGUUCUAGUUUAAACUAUUCUUUG